rnacentral:sRNA from 1 species
UUGACUUAGAAAUGAGAAUCGUUAUGAUUAUCACAACUGAUCGCGAGAUCGGUUGGAUUUUCUGAAAGGCCCUUGGUUCGGACUCUUCAGAUUAUCUCCUCAUCAGGCUAAUCACGGUUAUUGACCCGGCUUUUUGCCGGGUCUUUUUUUG